AUAUGAAGGUGGCAGUGAAAAACAUAGUUCGUCUUGUAAGAUCGUUGGCGUUGAGCUGUGUUACAUUUUGUAUUGAUGAAACAGUAACCAAGCGACCAUACUUGAGGUUCACAAGGAAUAUGUUCCCACAUGCAUGGAGUCCUUUAAUGAUGGAACACCUGUUGUGAGGAAUGCAGUUUUCUCAGCUUUGGCGGUUAUUUCCAAGAUGGUUGGUAUGACACCUUUUGGAGAAGUCUCCAGAAAAAUCUGGAUGAUGUCAGACAAAAGAAGUGUCUGAAAUGAUUGGGGGUUGACAGGGGAUCCUUCUGCUCUUCCAAACUCAGGCUUAGAUCAGGAGUACUUUGGAUGUGUAUAAGAGAAAAGUUGACCUGGCUGUGAAAUCUAAUGCCCACCUUCUUCAGACACUGGCAGAUGCUAGAGUUGAACUCACCAAUCUCUUAUCAGCUUUUGGAGAAAAAGACUUAUGUCAGAAUUCCUGACAAGACGUCAGGAACGAAGAAGGAACAGCUAUUCUGAUGUUCAAUCUCAAAUACAGAAGAUAUCUGUGGAGAUUGCUGGAACUAGUGUCCAGGUUGAGAAUAUCUCAGUUGAUGAGUCCAAUCUAUCCAUGAAAAAAUUAGAUGAGUUUAAUGCUCAGCCUCAAGAUCUUCAAAAGAAAAAGAGUGACGGGCUGAACAAGGUUACUGACUUGUGAGCACAGUUCACGAUGUUUGUGCUGUCCUUGGCAUGGACUUCUUUACUACUGUCACCGAAGUGCAUCUCAGUAAGAAAGCAUCUGCAAUGACACCCUAGCUGGGCUGGCGAGACUGUUUUAGCACUAAAUGAAAUAAAGAAGCAAAGAUUGCAAGAGGUCUGAGCAGUACAAGGAGCUCGAGCCAGGAGCUGUUCCAAAGGCUGUGGGUUCUGUACCCACUGAGGGGAGUGUAGCUGAUGAUAAGUAGUCCGUUAAAAUCCUUGCAACUUGUCGCAAUCUUAACUGCUGAACGAGAUGGUGACACCCUCAAAGCUGCAUCAAAUACUUUGGCUGAACUUAGUCAACUUGGUUGGCUCAGAAAAUAUUUCACGUUCCAGUGCAAGAGAGCCGGUGAGAUAAACAAAAGCUUGCUGACACUUUGUCGAGUCAUAAAUGCCUCGGUUAAACAUUCUGCUCAUAUACCCUACAGAGAUAGCAAGUUAAUGAGGUUGCUGAAAGAUUAUUUGGGAGGGGAAACAAAGACCUGUAUAAUUGCUACGAUAUCACCUUCCACCCACGGUUUAGAAGAGACACUCAGUUCAUUAGAUUAUGCUCAUCGUGCCAAAAACAUAAAGGAAAAACCAGAGGUCAAUCAGAAGAUGGUUAAGUCCCUCCUGAUCAAGGAUUUCUACUUUGAAAUUGGUCGACUAAAACAAGGUCUUUGGUCCAUCAUCCCAGCAAAAGGAUUUGUACGAUCAAGCAGUGUGUCCCAUUGUAUUUGAUGUUCUGGAUGCCUAUACUUCUACCAUCUUUGCCUACGGGCAAACUAGACCUGGGCAGGCCUAUACUACGGAGGAUGGGUCAAGAAAAAAGAAUGGUGAUAUCCCAAGUGAUGUUGGGGUUAUUCCAAGAGCCAUUAGACUAAUUUUUGACAUCUCAGAAGCUCAAAAUGCUAAGCACAGCCUGAAGGUCACAUUCUUAGAACUUUACAAUGUGGAAAUAACAGAUGUUUUGGUGCCGGGUGAAUGUUCGAAAUUCAUAAAAGACAAAUCAAAGAAUCCAGUAGCUCUCUUGGAGGAUGGCAAAGGCGGAACUUUUGUUAGGGGAUUUGAAGACGAGAUUGUGUCAACAGCUGAUGAAAUAUAUAAGAUCUUAGAGAAAGGUUUUACCAAGACGAGAACAGCAGAGACCCUUCUGAACAAACAGAGCAGCCGUUCUCACUCUGUAUUAUGUAUCGCUAUUCAUAUCAAUGAGUGUGAUCCAGAAGGAGAGGAGAUGAUCAAAUGUGGGAAGCUAAAGUUAGUCGACCUGGCUGGAUCAGAGAAUAUUUCACGUUCCGGUGCUAGAGAGCAUGGAAGAGCAAGGGAAGCCGGUGAGAUAAACAAAAGUUUGCUGACUCUUGGUCGAGUCAUUAAUUCCUUAGUUUAAUAUUCUGAUCAUAUACCCUACAGAUUCUUUGGCAGGGGAAACAAAGACAUGUAUAAUUGCUACGAUAUCACCUUCCUCCCUCUGUUUAGAAGGGACACUCAGUACAUUAGAUUAUGUUCAUCUUGCCAAACACAUUAAGAAAAAACCAGAGGUCAAUCAGAAGAUGGUUAAGUCCUUUCUGAUCAAGGAUUUCUACUUUCAAAUUGAUCGACUUGAUGUGCAUAUUACAAGAGUGAAGAAUGAAAUCUAGAGGUUUCUGAUCUCUUUUAAGAUUUCUUUAUUGAUAUUGUGGGUUAGCCUUCAUACAACUUUUUUAGAACUUUUGUCAGCUUUUGGGUUUGGAAUGAUGUCAUGCAAUACUUUCGAGAGGAUCUGCAUCAGAGGCUCUUAAGUGCUUACUUUCAAAAAGCAAGUUGAUGGCAUUGAGAUGUUUCAAAAGGCUCUUCCAUCCAUGGGAAGAGAGGUGAUUGAAGUCUUAGAUAUAGUAUUAAAGCUUUGGAUCUGUUGAGAAAUGAGGGCUACACUAUGACAAAAGCAGAUGCAACAACUUUCUUCCUUACUUGGUUGAGAAGACUGGAAUGAAGCAUUGGGAAUCAUAGAAUAUGGUUCUCCUGAACAGGCUGUUGAGGGAUGAAAAUUGUGUGCCAUGAAUUGGCACAAGCAAUUGUUGACUCCGAGAGUAGCACAAUGGAUGACAUAGUGAAAGAGGCUGAUAAACUAGUUUCAUGCCAGGCUAAUAAGACAAUUAUUAUGCUAUUUUUGACAUACCACUUCGGCAUUGUUUCUACGAGAUCCUCACAAUUGUUAUCAUUUCUAGCAGGUUGCGAAGACUUUUGACUUCAGCCUCACUUGUGCCUCUUCAUGAUCUUAAUACGAGGCUUGCUUAUACUCUUAAAGAGAGUACUCUUGAUAGUCUCAUCACAGAUAAGUUACUAUGGAUUUUGGGUGAUAGGGUUCCUUAGAUGGCUUGCUCAUAUCUUGCAUUUUCUAUUCGUCAGGUUCGAGUAGGACAAAGAACACAAACCAGCUGUUUAUGAGGCUAUGGCAGUUAGAGGAAUGAAAGUUGUGUGCCAUGAAUUGGCACAAGCAAUUGUUGACCCCGAGGGCAGCACAAUGGAUGACAUAGUAGUAGAUGCUGAUAGACUAGUUUCAUGCCGGGCUAAUAAGACAAUUAUUAUGCUAUUUUUGACAUACCACUUCGGCAUUGUUUCCAUGAGAUCCUCACAAUUGUUGUCUUUUCUAGCAGGCUGCAAAGAAUUUUGACUCCAGCCUCACUCGUGCUUCUUCAUGAUCUUGCAAAUAUGUCCUGAACCCUAAACCAUAAACCCUAUAUACUCUAAUGCAAACUUUUUAGGUCAGAACAAGAGGCUUGUUUGUGCACUUAAAGAGAAUACUCUUGAUAGUCUCAUCACAGAUAAGCUAAGCUACUAUGGCUUUUGGAUUAUAGGGUUCCUUAGAUGGCUUACUUAUAUCUUGCAUUUUCUAUUCGUCAGGUUCGAGCAGGACAAAGACCACAAACCAGCUGUUUAUGAGGCUAUGACGGUUAGAGGAAUGAAAGUUGUGUGCCAUGAAUUGGCACAAGCAAUUGUUGACCCCGAGGGCAGCACAAUGGAUGACAUAGUAGUAGAUGCUGAUAGACUAGUUUCAUGCCGGGCUAAUAAGACAAUUAUUAUGCUAUUUUUGACAUACCACUUCAGCAUUGUUUCCAUGAGAUCCUCACAAUUGUUAUCAUUUCUAGCAGGUUGCGAAGAAUUUUGACUUCAGCCUCUUCAUGAUCUUGUAAAUAUGUCCUGAACCCUAUAUACUCCAAUGCAAACUUUUCGAAACAACUUUUGUUGCUGCCAUUUCAGAACAAGAGGCUUGCUUAUGCACUUAAAGAGAGUACUCUUGAUAGUCUCAUCACAGAUAAGUUACUGUGGCUUUUUGGAUGAUAGGGUUCCAUAUAUGACUUGCUAAUAUCUUGCAUUUUCUAUUCGUCAGGUUUGAGGAGGCAGAAGCUGUUUAUGAGGCUAUGGUAUGUGUACUCUGAAUUCUGUCAUUGUGUGAUAUUUAAAAAAUGAUAUUUAAAAUAUGUUUCCGGCCAAUGUUGUCAAGUCUCAAUGUUGGCAUUUUUAGACAUUUUUAUAGUGUGUAUUUUGUUUAGGGUUCGUUCGCUUUUCCAUAUAGCAUUUGUCAUGUAAAAAUACUUGAUAAGAAUUAGGGGAGUUUUGUAUCA